GCCAGGCGUGGUGGCGCGUGUCUGUAAUCCCAGCUACUCGGGAGGCUGAGGCAGGAGAACUGCUUGAGCCCAGGAGGUGGAGGGUGGAGUGAGCUGAGAUCGCACCACUGCACUCCAGCCUGGGCAACAAAGCGAGACUCCGUCUCAA
rnacentral:SRP_RNA from 1 species